AACGAACGCUGGCGGCAUGCCUAACACAUGCAAGUCGAACGAGAUCUUCGGGUCUAGUGGCGCACGGGUGCGUAACGCGUGGGAAUCUGCCCUUUGGUUCGGAAUAACAGUUGGAAACGACUGCUAAUACCGGAUGAUGACGAAAGUCCAAAGAUUUAUCGCAAGGGGAUGAGCCCGCGUAGGAUUAGCUAGUUGGUGUGGUAAAGGCGCACCAAGGCGACGAUCCUUAGCUGGUCUGAGAGGAUGAUCAGCCACACUGGGACUGAGACACGGCCCAGACUCCGACGGGAGGCAGCAGUGGGGAAUAUUGGAUAAUGGGCGAAAGCCUGAUCCAGCAAUGCCGCGUGAGUGAUGAAGGCCUUAGGGUUGUAAAGCUCUUUUACCCGGGAUGAUAAUGACAGCACCGGGAGAAUAAGCUCCGGCUAACUCCGUGCCAGCCGCCGCGGUAA
rnacentral:rRNA from 1 species